rnacentral:lncRNA from 1 species
GGGGUUGAAGUCAUGAAAACCAUGAUCGCCGCUGCAUGCCCAGCUUUUCUCGAUCAUCAGAUACCAUUCAUUGAUAGUCGGAAGAAAAAGUUCUUCCCCGUAGACCCCGCGUAUGGCUGCAGGGUAUUAUGGACUGGAUCCACCGGAACCGGCGACGCCGCCUGUGAUGUUUGCGGUCUACAUUGGCUUAAAGCGAGCUGAUC